rnacentral:rRNA from 1 species
AUACGGAAGGCAGCAGUGAGGAAUAUUGGACAAUGGGCGCAAGCCUGAUCCAGCCAUGCCGCGUGCAGGAAUAAGGUCCUAUGGAUUGUAAACUGCUUUUAUACAGGAAGAAACACACCCUCGUGAGGGUACUUGACGGUACUGUAUGAAUAAGGACCGGCUAACUCCGUGCCAGCAGCCGCGGUAAUACGGAGGGUCCAAGCGUUAUCCGGAAUCAUUGGGUUUAAAGGGUCCGUAGGCGGUUUAAUAAGUCAGUGGUGAAAGCCCAUCGCUCAACGAUGGAACGGCCAUUGAUACUGUUAAACUUGAAUUAUUUGGAAGUAACUAGAAUAUGUAGUGUAGCGGUGAAAUGCUUAGAGAUUACAUGGAAUACCAAUUGCGAAGGCAGGUUACUACUAAUAUAUUGACGCUGAUGGACGAAAGCGUGGGGAGCGAACAGGAUUAGAUACCCGAGUAGUCC